rnacentral:rRNA from 1 species
UACGAAGGGUGCAAGCGUUACUCGGAAUUACUGGGCGUAAAGCGCACGUAGGCGGCUUUGUAAGUUAGAGGUGAAAGCCUGGAGCUCAACUCCAGAAUUGCCUUUAAGACUGCAUCGCUUGAAUCCAGGAGAGGUGAGUGGAAUUCCGAGUGUAGAGGUGAAAUUCGUAGAUAUUCGGAAGAACGCCAGUGGCGAAGGCGGCUCACUGGACUGGUAUUGACGCUGAGGUGCGAAAGCGUGGGAGCAACAGG